rnacentral:rRNA from 1 species
UACGUAGGGGGGCAAGCGUUGUCCGGAUUUAUUGGGCGUAAAGAGCGUGUAGGCGGCCAAGCAGGUCCGCUGUGAAAACUCGAGGCUCAACCUCGAGACGUCGGUGGAAACCGUUUGGCUAGAGUCCGGAAGAGGAGAGUGGAAUUCCCCGGUGUAGCGGUGAAAUGCGCAGAUAUCGGGAAGAACACCGGUGGCGAAGGCGGCCUGCUGGGCUAUGGCUGACACUGAGGCGCGGACAGCGUGGGGAGCAAACAGG